AAACUUCUCCUGUCAAAGAAAAGAUUGCCCAUUUUCCAUUAAUACAGGAACAUUGUGGAUUCUUGUCCAUUGUCAAGCAUAUUGAUACAAACCAAGUUUGGGGCCUAUUCUUCUUGUAGUAAUCUAAGCCCUUGUUUUCAAUCAGCCGAAAUUUGACACCUAAACACGUACAUAGUUGGAGGCAUCAUAUUUUGAGGAUAUAUAAGCUAUGCCAGAGUGGUGGGUUAGCUUUUUUAUCUGCUCAGGAGCAGAAUUUUGGGGUUCUAUUAUCUGGCAGCGAAAGAAGAGGUUUAAUUCCAUCUAAAUUACAUGCUGUUUGGUGCUAACCAAGUGAAAGGUUUGUCAGAGAGUUCAAGUGAAGUUAUUACCAUGUGAUGCUCUCACUUUACAAGAAAAGCUGGAUAUUUCUUAUUGCGCACAUAGUCCACAUGGGUCUUAACUUGAUGACGAUGUGAUUGGAGUUCAUACAAUUGUAGCUGUCCAUCCAUAAUUGCCCCAAGGAAAGAAGUGCUUGAGUUGACGCUAAAUGGUUCGACUACUGAGUGGAUAAAAGGGGAAGCUGUUUGAAGUUCACAUAUAUAUUGUUAAAACAAUAUGGGUUUUAAGUUUUCACGAACUUAAUCCCCUGCUCUGAUACUCUCCUUUAAAUCAAACAAAUUUAUAUUUAUCUAAAAGAUGUUUAUGUUGAGCUACAUUAGCAACCAUGUUAUCAUUU